GAAAACUGUGCAUCGGAUCUGAAAUCCGUCAGUGCCAUUGGUUCCAGAAUAGCUGAACCGUUCAAAACGAGCUAUUGGAUCGCUAUGAACGGAGUCCGAUACGCGCCGAAAGCCAUCUCUACUCCGUGGCUUCUCCGGAAAACCGGAGUUACUAUUCACUUAAGUGAAAACUAAUAAUCGCGUAACUUCUCCAUUUUAGCUCAUUUUCUCCUGAAACUUGACGAGUGCUUAUGUAAUUAAAUUACACACAUAAACAUCGUCAACAGAGAGUUUAGUUGCACUGUCAAAAUCUCAGUCCUUACAUAAAAGUUGAAACAUGAAACUUUAAAUUUAAAAAUUUAAAAAUUCAAAUUCAAAUUUAAAAUUUUAAACAAUUUAAAAUUUAAAAUUUAAAAUUAAUUUAAAAUCUAUAUUUGAAGUUUGAAAUUUAAAAUUUGAAACUUGAAACAUGAAACUUUAAAUUUAAAAAUUUAAAAUAUAAAAUUUG
rnacentral:lncRNA from 1 species